rnacentral:rRNA from 1 species
AUUUGACCUCAAAUCAGGUAGGAACACCCGCUGAACUUAAGCAUAUCAAUAAGCGGAGGAAAAGAAAAUAACAAUGAUUCCCCUAGUAACUGCGAGUGAAGAGGGACAAGCUCAAAUUUUAAAUCCAUCGGGUUUUACCCGAUCGAGUUGUAAUUUGAAGAGGCGUUUUCUGUGUUUCUGAUCAGUCCAAGUCCUUUGGGAUAAGGCAUCAUGGAGGGUGAGAAUCCCGUCCGGUUGAUCAGAUUCGCUUUACGAUACGCUUUCUAAGAGUCAAGUUGUUUGGGAUUGCAGCUUAAAAUGGGAGGUAAAUUUCUCCUAAGGCUAAAUAACGGCGAGAGACCGAUAGCGAACAAGUACCGUGAGGGAAAGAUGAAAAGAACUUUGAAAAGAGAGUUAAACAGUACGUGAAAUUGUUGAAAGGGAAACGAUUGAAGCCAGUCGUACCUUCGGGUAAUCAGCCUUUCGGGUGCGAUUAUGUGGAGUGUGAGGAGCUUAAACACCUUCAUGUUUUGCAUAUUCGUACUCUUGGGUGUACUUGCCCGUGUGGUUGGUUAACAUCAAUUUUGGUGGUCAUAAAAUGACUGGAGGAAUGUAGCUUCGAUCUCGUAUUGAAGUGUUAUAGCCUUCGGUAGAUGUGAUGAUCGAGAUUGAGGAUUGCAACGGAUACCCUUCGGGGCUACCUGUCUGGUCUCUGAUCGUUGCUCUGGUGCCGAAAGCUUGCUUACGGUUAUCAAAGUCGAUGGUCAAUAGGUUAGAACGGGUUAAAUUCGUUAAGGAUGUUGACGUAAUGGCUUUAAACGACCCGUCUUGAAACACGGACCA